rnacentral:rRNA from 1 species
AGGAUUCUCCCAGUAACGGCGAGUGAACGGAGAUUAGCCCAUCACCGAAGUCUAUUCGCGUUUGCGGACAGGACAAUGUGGUGUUCGGGCAUGCGCCUUGGUGUCAUUGACCAGCCCUAAGUCCAACUCCGAUUGCGGCUUUGUAUAGUGUCCAUAGCGGGUGAAAGACCCGUUCGGGCUGGAUUUGUUGUAUUUAUAAAUGAUACCUUGAUGUGCAUGCUUUCGAGUCGGAUUGCUUGAGAAUGCAGUCCAAAGCGGGUGGUAAACUCCAUCCAAGGCUAAAUACUGGCACGAGUCCGAUAGUAGACAAGUACCGUGAGGGAAAGUUGAAAAGUACUCUGAAGAGAGAGUAAAUAGUACGUGAAACCGCUUGCAGAGAAUCGGGUGGAGUCAAGCUUCAUGCUUGGAAGAUUGUUGUCCGAUAUUGUUAUUGUGUCAGGAUAUGGGGCUUGACAGCUUGGAAUAAGUUGGAUGCACUUGUUGCAUUUCAAGUCUUUCCGGGUAGUUGGUUUGUUUCUUGCCCCUAAUUCCUAUAUUGGAUAAUGUCUUUUCCUGUGCAUAAGUCAAGGCUCCUAGUGAGUGUACAUCAUGAUAUUCUAACAGUCUUCGAGUCAAUGUAUGUUGACUUGGUGUUGAAUGGAAGGUGUUCCCAAUGGUGUUUAUCAUUGUUGGGACUUAUUUUGGUUUCGACCGUCUGAAUAUCAUGAAUAUGUAUCACCGCUAGGAGAUGGUAUGUGUACAGUUGGUAGCCUAUAUGGUUGCUAGCUUAUCAAUGCCUUGAUUCUGAGGUAGA